GGAGAGGUCGCAUAGUGGUCGAGUGCACCGCCUUGGAAAGGCGGCAUACCGAAAGGUAUCGAGGGUUCGAAUCCCUCCCUCUCCG
rnacentral:tRNA from 1 species